UGUCCAAAAAGGACAGCACAAAGCCCCCACGGUGGAAGAGCUCAACCAGCUGAAAGAAGCAGAAUAUCUCUUCCACUGCAGCAUAUUGAAAAUGCAGAUGGAGGAACUGCUGAAAGAAGUGGCUCUUAGUGAGCACAGGAAGAAGCUGGUGGACUCCUUUGUGCAGCAGGUCACAGAUUUCUUGCAGUGUGUGCCCGAAUCUGAAGUUGUGGAGUUGGAUGAUAUUUCAUGGUUGUCAGGUGUUGAAGUCCCAUUCC